GACGAACGCUGGCGGCGUGCCUAAUACAUGCAAGUCGAGCGCUGAAGGCUGGUACUUGUACCAACUGGGUGAGCAGCGCACGGGUGAGUAACGCGUGGGGCAUCUGCCUUUGUGCGGGGGACAAUAUUUGGAAACGAAUGCUAAUACCGCAUAAAAACUUUAAACACAAGUUUGAAGUGUGAAAGAUGCAAUUGCAUCACUCAAAGAUGAUCCCGCGUUGUAUUAGCUAGUUGGUGAGGUAAAGGCGCACGAAGGCGAUGAUACAUAGCCGACCUGAGAGGGUGGUCAGCCACAUUGGGACUGAGACACGGCCCAAACGCCUACGGGAGGCAGCAGUAGGGAAUCUUCGGCAAGGGGCGAAAAUCUGUGCGAGCAGCGCGGCGUGAGUGAAGAAGGUUGUCGGGUCGUAAAACUCGGUUGGUAGGGAAGAACGUUCGUGAGAGUGGAAAGCUCAUCAAGUGACGGUAACUACUCAAAAAGGGACGGCUAACUACGUG
rnacentral:rRNA from 1 species